rnacentral:ribozyme from 1 species
AGCCUGGGAAGGUCUGGGACCAGUACUCUUGUCUCCAGAAGAUCGGGACAGGCUCCUUUGGGGCCGCCUACCUGGCGCAACACAAGCGCACAGGAGAUCAAAGGGUCAUCAAGGCAGCAGGCAAGUCCCAGGUGCGGGUGCCAGUUGAGGAUGUAGAGAGGGAAAUCAUGGUGAUGCAGCAGUUGGAUCACCCCCACGUCGUUCGCCUCUACGAAUGGUACGAGGGCGGCACUUCGCUGUACUUGGUGCUGGACGCCCUUGCAGGGGGGACCCUGCACGAGGUGAUCAUGCAGAAGUUCAACCAGAAGGCGAACGUCUCUGAGC